CGUGUGUUAUUCUGAUAAGAAUGACUGAAACUAAACCUGUCAGUCAACAUAUUGAAGAUUGCGAACCAGAAGAUUGUAUUUUUCCAACAGACAAAUGUGGUAGUUGCGGGAAAUUUUUUCAAUAUUAUGACGCUGGGGGGUAAGUAAUUAUUAAAUUUUUGGUCUUAAAAUGUCCCAUUCAAGUUUUUCGUUGUUGUAUAAUGCCUUUCCCUACGCCAGCAAUUAUAAAAAUAUAUUUACAUGGUCAGCAGUGAGACUGCCCAUCACAUCUUUAGUGGUGAGCCUGUGAAAAAUGAUGAGCCCGAGAAAAGAGAAAACCCCUGUGGUGACCCCUCUUCAGGAAGACCACCAAACAGGCGCAACAAAUGUGAUAUCUUGUUUUGCAACAUUCCUAAGAAUGUCUGCAAAGAUGACCCAAUGGAAUUGUUCAAAACAUGCGGGGCAAUCUUGGCUAUUCAGCUAAAUUUUCACCUUGGAUACGGGUUAAUUCAAUUCUUAAAGAGCGAAGCACUCGCUACAACGGUACGCUCGCAACCAAAUGUUGCGAAAUAACCGAAAAU